GAACUGUAGAGUUUGAUCCUGGCUCAGAUUGAACGCUGGCGGCAUGCCUUACACAUGCAAGUCGAACGGUAACAGGUCUUCGGAUGCUGACGAGUGGCGAACGGGUGAGUAAUACAUCGGAACGUGCCCAGUCGUGGGGGAUAACUACGCGAAAGCGUAGCUAAUACCGCAUACGAUCUAUGGAUGAAAGCGGGGGAUCGCAAGACCUCGCGCGAUUGGAGCGGCCGAUGGCAGAUUAGGUAGUUGGUGGGGUAAAGGCUCACCAAGCCGACGAUCUGUAGCUGGUCUGAGAGGACGACCAGCCACACUGGGACUGAGACACGGCCCAGACUCCUACGGGAGGCAGCAGUGGGGAAUUUUGGACAAUGGGCGAAAGCCUGAUCCAGCCAUGCCGCGUGCAGGAUGAAGGCCUUCGGGUUG
rnacentral:rRNA from 1 species